UUUUGCUUUAAAACAUCUUUGACUCCUGUUAAAUUUGCAUCAUAAGGGUCAAGCAGACAUUCAUCUUCUAUGCAUUGUGUAACUUGAUUUCCUGAUUUCUGGACUGGGCAAAGUAUUUCUGGAUGGUAAUGAUUUGCCUAAUCUCUAUAAAAGACAACAGAAGUACACUUCUAUGCUGCACACUAGCGUGCUGGUGCUUGCACAUCACUAAGAGAGGGAAGCAGACAAACUUCCAGCUGGAGAAGCCCCAGAUGUGCACAGGUGUCAUAAUCAGCAGCUACGCUGGGAUCCAUCUGAGGGAUGGUCUUGGCUCAGACUGUCACUGUGGCAGACCUGCCUGUUUUGGAAGAGACUCCACUGUGGUGGAAAGACCGCCAGCUAGAACUGCCGUUAUGAGAUGUAUCUUCAAGCAAAG
rnacentral:lncRNA from 1 species